GACGAACGCUGGCGGCGUGCUUAACACAUGCAAGUCGAACGGUGAAGCUCCAGCUUGCUGGAGUGGAUCAGUGGCGAACGGGUGAGUAACACGUGAGCAACCUGCCCCUGACUCUGGAAUAAGCGCUGGAAACGGCGUCUAAUACUGGAUACGAGAAGGGCCCGCAUGGGCACUUUCUGGAAAGUUUUUCGGUUGGGGAUGGGCUCGCGGCCUAUCAGCUUGUUGGUGAGGUAAUGGCUCACCAAGGCGACGACGGGUAGCCGGCCUGAGAGGGCGACCGGCCACACUGGGACUGAGACACGGCCCAGACUCCUACGGGAGGCAGCAGUGGGGAAUAUUGCACAAUGGGCGGAAGCCUGAUGCAGCGACGCCGCGUGAGGGAUGACGGCCUUCGGGUUGUAAACCUCUUUCAGCAGGGAAGAAGCGAAAGUGACGGUACCUGCAGAAGAAGCACCGGCUAACUACGUG
rnacentral:rRNA from 1 species